rnacentral:rRNA from 1 species
UGCAGUCGACGGAAAGGCCYAGCUUGCUGGGUACUCGAGUGGCGAACGGGUGAGUAACACGUGGGUGAUCUGCCCCUGACUUUGGGAUAAGCCUGGGAAACUGGGUCUAAUACCGGAUAUUCAUUUUUCCUCGCAUGGGGAUUUGUGGAAAGCUUUUGCGGUURGGGAUGGGCCCGCGGCCUAUCAGCUUGUUGGUGGGGUAAUGGCCUACCAAGGCGACGACGGGUAGCCGACCUGAGAGGGUGAUCGGCCACACUGGGACUGAGACACGGCCCAGACUCCUACGGGAGGCAGCAGUGGGGGAAUAUUGCACAAUGGGCGCAAGCCUGAUGCAGCGACGCCGCGUGAGGGAUGACGGCCUUCGGGUUGUAAACCUCUUUCAGCUCCGACGAAGCGCAAGUGACGGUAGGAGCAGAAGAAGCACCGGCCAACUACGUGCCAGCCG